GCUUCGGUGAUGUAGUGGUAGAACACGGGUCCCCAGAUAGGAUGAAACGCAGGUUCGAAUCCCGCCUGAGGCC